AUCAGUCAUAUUUUAAGGCAUACAUGAGAAUCCAUAAUGGAAAAAAUUCUAUAUGAAUUGACUCAAUUUUCAGGAGAUUUUUACAUGUUCCACAGUGGAGCUCUGCCUAUUCAAGUGUACACCAUAAAAGUCGAGGAGUGUAAGAUUUGAGGGAAAGUUUUUGGGUAUUCUUCAAAUUUUAAGAGUCACAUGCGAACCCACACUGGGGAGAAACUUUAUGAAUGUAAAAUAUAUAAAGAAUCCUUCACUGCUUCUUCAAGUCUAACUGGACAUUUCAGAAUUCACACUGGAAAAAACCCUAUCAGUGUAAGGAGUGUGGAGAAGCUUUUACUAAGCCCUCAGGACUUUCUACACAUGUACAAAGGAUGUAUGCAAGUUAUGUGGGAGAUCCUUCAUGAUUUCUUCAAAUAUGACUGGACGUUUAAGA
rnacentral:lncRNA from 1 species